rnacentral:rRNA from 2 species
UUAAAUUGAAGAGUUUGAUCAUGGCUCAGAUUGAACGCUGGCGGCAGGCCUAACACAUGCAAGUCGAACGGUAGCACAGAGAGCUUGCUCUCGGGUGACGAGUGGCGGACGGGUGAGUAAUGUCUGGGAAACUGCCUGAUGGAGGGGGAUAACUACUGGAAACGGUGGCUAAUACCGCAUAACGUCGCAAGACCAAAGAGGGGGACCUUCGGGCCUCUUGCCAUCAGAUGUGCCCAGAUGGGAUUAGCUUGUUGGUGAGGUAACGGCUCACCAAGGCGACGAUCCCUAGCUGGUCUGAGAGGAUGACCAGCCACACUGGAACUGAGACACGGUCCAGACUCCUACGGGAGGCAGCAGUGGGGAAUAUUGCACAAUGGGCGCAAGCCUGAUGCAGCCAUGCCGCGUGUAUGAAGAAGGCCUUCGGGUUGUAAAGUACUUUCAGCGGGGAGGAAGGUGUUGUGGUUAAUAACCGCAGCAAUUGACGUUACCCGCAGAAGAAGCACCGGCUAACUCCGUGCCAGCAGCCGCGGUAAUACGGAGGGUGCAAGCGUUAAUCGGAAUUACUGGGCGUAAAGCGCACGCAGGCGGUCUGUCAAGUCGGAUGUGAAAUCCCCGGGCUCAACCUGGGAACUGCAUUCGAAACUGGCAGGCUUGAGUCUUGUAGAGGGGGGUAGAAUUCCAGGUGUAGCGGUGAAAUGCGUAGAGAUCUGGAGGAAUACCG